CGCUGGCGGCAGGCCUAACACAUGCAAGUCGAGCGGUAACAGAAAGAAAGCUUGCUUUCUUUGCUGACGAGCGGCGGACGGGUGAGUAAUGCCUGGGAAUAUGCCUUGAUGUGGGGGAUAACCAUUGGAAACGAUGGCUAAUACCGCAUAAUGCCUACGGGCCAAAGAGGGGGAUCUUCGGACCUCUCGCGUCAAGAUUAGCCCAGGUGGGAUUAGCUAGUUGGUGAGGUAAUGGCUCACCAAGGCGACGAUCCCUAGCUGGUCUGAGAGGAUGAUCAGCCACACUGGAACUGAGACACGGUCCAGACUCCUACGGGAGGCAGCAGUGGGGAAUAUUGCACAAUGGGCGCAAGCCUGAUGCAGCCAUGCCGCGUGUGUGAAGAAGGCCUUCGGGUUGUAAAGCACUUUCAGUCGUGAGGAAGGUAGUUGCGUUAAUAGCGUAAUUAUUUGACGUUAGCGACAGAAGAAGCACCGGCUAACUCCGUGCCAGCAGCCGCGGUAAUACGGAGGGUGCGAGCGUUAAUCGGAAUUACUGGGCGUAAAGCGCAUGCAGGUGGUUUGUUAAGUCAGAUGUGAAAGCCCGGGGCUCAACCUCGGAAUUGCAUUUGAAACUGGCAGACUAGAGUACUGUAGAGGGGGGUAGAAUUUCAGGUGUAGCGGUGAAAUGCGUAGAGAUCUGAAGGAAUACCGGUGGCGAAGGCGGCCCCCUGGACAGAUACUGACACUCAGAUGCGAAAGCGUG
rnacentral:rRNA from 1 species